AUUGAACGCUGGCGGCAGGCCUAACACAUGCAAGUCGAGCGAGCGGCGGACGGGUGAGUAAUGUCUGGGCAACUGCCUGAUGGAGGGGGAUAACUACUGGACACGGUAGCUAAUACCGCAUACCAUCAGAUGUGCCCAGAUGGGAUUAGCUAGUAGGUUGGGUAAAGGCUCACCAAGGCGACGAUCCCUAGCUGGUCUGAGAGGAUGACCAGUCAAACUGGAACUGAGACACGGUCCAGAAUCCUACGGGAGGCAGCAGGGGGGAAGAUUGCACAAUGGGCGAAAGCCUGAUGCAGCCAUGCCGCGUGUAUGAAGAAGGCCUUCGGGUUGUAAAGCACUUUCAGUGGGGAGGCGUUACCCGCAGAAGAAGAACCGGCUAACUCCGUGCCAGCAGCCGCGGUAAUAC
rnacentral:rRNA from 1 species